rnacentral:lncRNA from 1 species
GGGUCACCUGCUGCAGACACAAGUGUGUGCCUGGGCUGCUUCUGUCUUGUGACUGAGGAAUUUUGAAAUGGCAGUGCUGAGCUCACAAAGAAGAAAAUGUCUCCUUGAUGUCACACAGUUCGCUGCCAAACCAUCCAAGGAGCUGGGAGUGCGGACAUACAUGUCAAGUGAGUGUUCCACUACCCAGCAAAAUCUCCAGCCCCCGCUACCUGGAAAUUAUCAAUGACUGCACGUGCCCAGCUCUUCUGGACCCUCUGAUGUUCUGUCACAUGGGAGCAAAUGGAGAGCUGGGACAUCCUUUGACCUCAGCCCUCAAAGGAUAAUUAACUUCUUGCUCAAUCCCUCAGCAUUUGACCAAAAUACCAAGAUAAAAAUGUAGGCCCGUGUUAGUACAAAAGGUCCUGCAUUCAACUGUCCUCCUUAUAUUGCCCAAGAAGUCUUGUGGAAUUCCAAGAAGAAUUCAAGGGGCCAGACCUGGAAUAUGCAUCAAUGAGAAUAAGACACUGACGAAGCUAACGACACUAACGGGGAAUGAGGAUAAUCGACUCCUGUCCUUUGUUUUACUCUUUAACCUAGUAAUAAAUCCCUUUAAAGGCCCGUGGUA